ACCCAUGACCAUCUCAGCUGAUCUCAUCAGGUCUCGGAAGCUAAGCAGGUUUGAGCCUGGUUAGUGCUUGGAUGAGAGCCUGCUUGAGAACACCAGGUGUUCUGGACC
rnacentral:rRNA from 1 species